rnacentral:tRNA from 1 species
GGUUCGAUAGUUCAGCUGGUUAGAAUGCCUGCCUGUCACGCAGGAGGUCGCGGGUUCGAGUCCCGUCCGGACCG